AAGUCGUAACAAGGUUUCCGUAGGUGAACCUGCGGAAGGAUCAUUACCUAGAGUUGUAGGCUUUGCCUGCUAUCUCUUACCCAUGUCUUUUGAGUACCUUCGUUUCCUCGGCAGGCCCGCCUGCCAAUGGGGACCCCUUCAAACUCUUGCAAUAACCUGUAUGAAAUCGUCUGAACAAAACAAACAAAUCAAAACUUUCAACAACGGAUCUCUUGGUUCUG
rnacentral:misc_RNA from 1 species